CGGGUAGCGGAACACGUACAGAACCUUCCUUUAAGUGGGGGAUAGCCCGAAGAAAUUCGGAUUAAUACCCCGUAACAUUAUGUUGUGGCAUCACAUUAUAAUUAUAGAUUUAUCGCUUAGAGAUGGCUGUGCGGCUGAUUAGGUAGUUGGCGGGGUAAAGGCCCACCAAGCCUUCGAUCAGUAACUGGUGUGAGAGCACGACCAGUCACACGGGCACUGAGACACGGGCCCG
rnacentral:rRNA from 1 species